UACAGAGGUCUCAAGCGUUGUUCGGAUUCAUUGGGCGUAAAGGGUGCGUAGGCGGCGCGGUAAGUCGGGUGUGAAAUCUCGGAGCUUAACUCCGAAACUGCAUUCGAUACUGCCGUGCUUGAGGACUGGAGAGGAGACUGGAAUUUACGGUGUAGCGGUGAAAUGCGUAGAUAUCGUAAGGAAGACCAGUGGCGAAGGCGGGUCUCUGGACAAAUGCUGACGCUCAUGCACGAAGGCUAGGGUAGCGAACGGG
rnacentral:rRNA from 1 species